rnacentral:tRNA from 1 species
GCGCCUCAUGGAGUGCUGCCCUCCGAAGGCAGGGGUUGCUGGUUCGAUCCCAGCCGGGCGCGCCA